UGGGUAACCUGCCUCAAAGAGGGGAAUAGCCUCCCGAAAGGGAGAUUAAUACCGCAUAAUAUGUUUAGGUCGCAUGACUUUAACAUCAAAGGAUUUUCUUUUAGAAAUUCCACUUUGAGAUGGACCCGCGGCGCAUUAGCUAGUUGGUGAGGUAACGGCUCACCAAGGC
rnacentral:rRNA from 1 species